rnacentral:rRNA from 1 species
CCUACGGGUGGCAGCAGUGAGGAAUAUUGGUCAAUGGGCGGAAGCCUGAACCAGCCAAGUAGCGUGCAGGAUGACGGCCCUACGGGUUGUAAACUGCUUUUAUACGGGAAUAACGCGCCUUACGUGUAGGGCUUUGCAUGUACCGUAUGAAUAAGGACCGGCUAAUUCCGUGCCAGCAGCCGCGGUAAUACGGAAGGGCCGGGCGUUCUCCGGAUUUAUUGGGUUGAAAGGGAGCGUAGGCCGCAUGUCAAGCGUGCUUGGCAAUGUCCGGGCUCAACCCGGGCCUUGCAGCGCGAACUGGCGUGCUUGAGUCCGCUGACAGCAGGCGGAAUUCGUCGUGUCGCGGUGAAAUGCUUAGCUAUGACGAAGAACCCCGAUUGCUAAGUCAGCUUGCUGCAGCGUAACUGACGCUGAUGCUCGACAGCGCGUGUAUCGAACAGGAUUAGCUACCCGGGUAGUC